UCUUUUUUCUUGGGUUUUUCUAGAUCAAGAAUUUAGAUUGAUUGGUCCAACAGGAAGUGGUGAAUUUGCAAUUGGAGGUACAGAAAGGUGGACUUGGGAAGUCUGAGGCCAGCUUGCUCCCUGCAGGCUCAAGAUGAACCAUCCCACAUAG